rnacentral:lncRNA from 1 species
UCUCCCUAUCCCACUAUGAAUAAGCAUCAUUAUAUCAAAGAACACAUUCAGCAUUUGGUUUUUAUGGGGAUUGGCUAACUUCACUUAGCAUUAUCUUCUCUAACUCCAUCCAUUUAUCUGCAAAUGCCAUGAUUUUAUUCUCUAUUAUUCCUGAGUAAUAUUCCAUUGUGUAUAUAUGCCACAUUUUUUAUCCAUUCACCCACUGAAGGGCAUCAAGGUUGGUUCCACAGUUUAGCUAUUGUGAAUUGUGCUGCUAUAAACAUUGAUGUGGCUGUUUCCCUGUAGUAUGCUGUUUUUAAGUCCUUUGGGUAUAGAACGAGGAGAAGAAUAGCUGGUCAAAUUGUGUUUCCCUUCCCAAUUUUCCAAGAAAUCUCCAUACUGCUUUCCAUAUUGGCUGCACCAAUUUGUAGUCCCACCAGCAGUGUAUGAGUGUACCUUUUCCUCCACAUCCUCUCCAACACUUAUUGUUGUUUGUCUUCAUAAUAGCUGCCAUUCUGACUGGAGUGAAAUGAAAACUUAGAGUGGUUUUGAUUUGCAUUUCUGUAAUUGCUAAUGAUGAUAAACAUUUUUUCAUAUAUUUGAUGAUUGAUUGUAUAUCCUCUUCUGAGAAGUGUCUGUUCAGGUCCUUGGCCCAUUUAUUGAUUGGGUUAUUUGUUUUUUUGGUGUUUAACUUUUUGAGUUCUUUAUAUACUCUAGAGAUUAGUGCUCUAUCUGAUGUGUGAGGUGUAAAGAUUUGCUUCUAAGAUGUAGGCUCUCUAUUCACCUCACAGAUUGUUUCUUUUGCUGAGAAGAAACUUUUUAAUUUGAGUUCAUCCCAUCUAUUGAUUCUUGGUUUUAAUUCUUGCGCCAGAGGAGUCUUAUUAAGGAAGUGGGGGCCUAAUCCCACAUGAUAGAGAUUAUGGCCUACUUUUUCUUCUUUUAGAUGCAGAGUCUCUGGUUUUAUUCCUAAGUCUUUGAUCCAUUUUGAGUUGAGUUUUGUGCAUGGUGAGAGAUAGGGGUUUCAUUUAAUUUUGUUGCAUAUGGAUUUCCAGUUUUCUUAGCACCAUUUGUUGAAGAAGCUAUUUUUUCUCCAAUGCAUGUUUUUGGCACCUUUUUCUAAUAUAAUUGUAAUUUUGUGAUUAGACUCUGUGUUCUCUAUUCUGUGCCAUUGGUCAAACAGUCUGUUUUGGUGCCAAUAUCAUGCUAUUUUUGUUACUACUGUUCUGUAGUAUAGUUUAAGGUCUGGUAUAGUGAUGCCACUUGCUUCACUCACUCUUCCUGCUAAGGAUUGCUUUAGCUAUUCUGGGUCUCUUAUUUUUCCAGAUGAAUUUCAUGACUCCUUUUUCU